rnacentral:rRNA from 1 species
AUGACCCUUAAUCGAGCCCUUGAAAUUGAGAACAUGCUCCUCCGCACGCUCCGCGUCUUCAAGGACCGCUUGCAUCAUUGCCGUCUCAUCGGGAAUCCAUUACUAGAAGGAAGAAUGGACAACUGUUUUCAGCUCCGGCGUUUCAGCGAACAAUUGCCGGGCAAGAGCCCCGGAGGUGACAAAGACGCAGAGUUCCGGCAGGGGUGUGGUGUUGUGGCCGGGGUGGUGGAGCGGCAGCGAAGGCAAGAGAGAACGAAGGAAGGAGAGAAAAUGAGGAGGAUGGAGUCACGGAGUCCGGGAAGGGUUUUGGGUAGGAUGGGGUGUCGGAUUCGUAUGUUUCGCAUGUCCGGACUCCCGCAAACUGACCCCACUUUUGUCUCCGAUUUCGAGAGAACAUGUCCAGACAGCGCCGUAGACCGAUACAGGCCCGUGUUGGAUGGAUCCAGUGAUCCAAACAGCUUGGUACAGACGGAUGCGGGUGGCUUGUGGCUAGGGGAGCCUCCCCGGGGUCGUGUCACACAAGGCCACCUGGUGUCCCGCCGCCGAGAUGACGUCGGCAACUCGACACUUAGCCGGUCCCACGAUGUGAGCUUGGCCGGUCUGUUGGUGGCUUGCCGGAGCGUGCGCGUGCUGCUGCUCAGCAAGAAGACGCGUCUAUGUGAGAUGAGCUGGCCGUCGCUCUUGGUGGCACCGUCGACGACGCAUGUGGCUCGUGGCCUCCGUGGUUGUUGGCACCGCCGCUCGCCGGCGUGUGGUUGGGGAGCUGUUGCCUUCCCGCCGGAGUUUGGUGGCCGGCCGCCGGCGUACGUGCUGCUAGCUGCUGCUACUUUGCUGCUUGAGAGAUGGAAUGCGGGCGAGCCGGAGAACGAACGGUGCACACCUGAAGCUGGAGGUGCUCAAGCACUACGCCGGCAGGCUGCUGCAGCUGCUCGAGUCCUCCGCCGGCGUGCUUCGAGUUCUCCAUGGCUGUGUGCCUGUGUACGAGAGUGUGGAUGUGUGAGAUGGUGGCUGGAGAGGGAGCACACACUCUCCCGCAUCCAGACAUGGUGGCACAACGUUUCUAUGACAGUGGCUGCACUAAUACUGGACGGCGGUGACGCUGUUCUCUUGGGCGCGCUCGACAUAGAGAGAGAGGGGAAGGGGAAGAUAAGGGAAGAGGUGAAAGGACAGGGGUUGUGUGGUGCACUUGUACCCUCCCCGACGAAGCGGUGGAAGCGGGAGGUGGCCCUGGUUGCGAGGGGAGCCCGUGGGCAUACUGAGAUGGAGCCGCCAGAUUCAACUUCGAAUAGAGGGGAUGCUGCCGCUCGGACCUUCGAAUUGACAGUCAAUUUCUUUCCAUCAAAGGCAAAAUUAGUUGAUGGUAGCAUACAGAACAUUGAGAGAGACACAAUUGUUAAAUGGGAGGUUGAGUUUACAGAGAUUGAUCCACAAGUUCUACAGAACAUGGGAGAGACGGCAGUGAAGAAAUGGGUGGAAAAAAUUGGGGAGAAUAUUGUUUGGGGUCCAGAGCAAGAAGUAUCACUGUUGCGGUUUGAUGAUUGGAAAGGAGGGUAUGUGAGAAUAGAAGAUGGUUGGAUAUAUGUGCCAUCACAAUUGGCUGCGCAGAUGGUAGAUGAUGAUUGGGCUACACAGAGGCCAUUGAUUCCCAUGUGUACUGAACUUACAGUAAUAGCCGAAGAGGGACAGGUGACUGGAACUGAAACUGAAACUGCAGCAACUGUUGAUUGGAAUGUAGUUGAAUUAGAUGAGCCUACUGAUUUGGUCAUUGCACCAAUGCCUGACAUUGAGAUGGCCAAACUUUUUGGCAUUCCAGUCGAUGACAGAGAUAAGCAGGAGAGGGGCGAAUCUAAUUUGCCUGCUAAUGCUGAUGAAGAAGUAGAUGGACAGUUUAUGGAACAAGCUGCAGAUGAAGUAGAUGAUGCACAUGAUGAUGAGCUGGUGCAUGUGUAUGACAAAGAAAACCCUGUCAUUGAAGUAGGCAAGUUGUUCCCAAGCAUGAAGGAGUUUAGGAUGUGUUUCAAGACUUGUGCAGUGAAACAUGAGUUUGAUGCCAAGACUGUUUGGACUGAUAGAAAGAAGUUUUAUGUGAGGUGCAGAGGACUUGAUGGUAGUGUGAAGCCUUGCAAGUGGAGGAAGCGAGCAAGUCAGCCCCUUGUUGUUGAACAGUGUUGGCCAACAAAAAAAGCAAGAGUCAAUGGCGGUAGAAAGAAGAGAAGUGUGCCUGAGCCUGAGCAGACUGAAGAAAAUCCUGCUGCAGUCAACAUUCAGACUGAAGAAACUGAUGUGGGUGUGCACACCGAAGAAACUGAAAUUGCAGUCAACAUUCAGACUGAAGAAACUGCUCUCAAGGUUGAAACUGAACCUGAGCGUGUCGAGGUUCAGACUGAAGAAACCCAUGUUGAGGUACACACCGAAGAAACUGAAACUGCUGUCAACAUUGAGACUGAAGACACUGAUCACGAGGGUGUUGGCGAGGUGUUGAAAAGACCAGUGAAGAUAACCAAGAUGAUCAGUGAACUUGUGUGUGUAGUAGAACCAAAAACAAGAAGUGCUAAGGCGAAGAAGGGCACACGACGUGGUAGGAAGAGCCUCUCUCGUUGGGGCAUCAGGACCGUUCAUUUGAAUCCAACGGCAAGAGUUGAUGCGGUGCAUGGACCAAGCCUACGCAGUGCCUUUUCCAUCGUUGCAUGUGUGCCCGGGCCUACCCGCAGCAUGCAUGCCCACCCGCAGAACUGCGCCCCGUCACAUCAAAGCAUGCACCCGGCCACAAUGCAGCAGCCCGAUGAAGACAACCAAAAAGCCAACGCUGCAUGGCGUGCUGUGCAUGGCGUGCUCCUCCUUGAGGACGCAAUACUGGCAUGGGGUAUCGAUCCAGGCCCUAGCAAGAUGGGCAAAUUAAUGGGCUACGGCAUGAAUGCGCGGGCGGCACACGCAGAGAACCCGGGGCAGGCGUGUCCCCUUGACCCACGACGGCACAGACGCCCGGGCACUAUUGUCUUCCUCUCCCUCCUCAUCCACACCCCAUCCUCUGCCUCCUCUGCCCUCCUUCUUCGUUCUUCUCCAUCAAACCCGAUCGAGCCCUUGAGCCACCCCCACCAUGUAGUACAACGCCCCCCCUACCGCUUCCCCCCAACCGUGCUGGAAAGGCUCUACCCGGCCGGAGUGUAUGUAGAGAGAACCCUUAGGGUUUGGGCGAUCUCGAGGUGGAGGGGCGAAAGGGAGUUAACGGAGUUCUUCCUUGCGGCCGGCUUCCGCCACCUCCCCCGCGGCUCUCCUCAGAUGUACCAUCUCGAGGAGGUCAACCACAACGCCGUUGUGGUUGGGCUCCUCACCACGUUCACUAACCCUUUCGAUGCUUUCCAUCUCCUCGGUGCAAAAAAGGCCAAAUUGCCUGCCAAUUUUCUUCAGCUCACACUUCAGUUCUGCACUGUGCAUCAUCAGAUCGGCUCUGUCCGCCAAAUUGGGGGCUUGUUCCACGGCAAGCCGCCCCCCGAAAUUGAGCUCUUGGGUUCGGUUGAUCCCUCCAAUUUCAACCUUUCAACAUAG